UACAGAGGGGGCAAGCGUUGUUCGGAAUUACUGGGCGUAAAGGGCGCGUAGGCGGCCUGCUAAGUCGAACGUGAAAUCCCUGGGCUCAACCCAGGAACUGCGUCCGAUACUGGUUGGCUUGAAUCCGGGAGAGGGACGUGGAAUUCCAGGUGUAGCGGUGAAAUGCGUAGAUAUCUGGAGGAACACCGGUGGCGAAGGCGGCAUCCUGGACCAAUACUGACACUGAGGAGCGAAAGCCAGGGGAGCAAACGGG
rnacentral:rRNA from 1 species